GACGAACGCUGGCGGCGUGCCUAAUACAUGCAAGUCGAACGAGUGGCGGACGGGUGAAUACUGUCUGGGCAACUGCCCGCUGGAGGGGGAUAACUACUGGAAACGGUAGCUAAUACCGCAUACCAUCGGAUGUGCCCAGAUGGGAUUAGCUAGUAGGUGGGGUAACGGCUCACCUAGGCGACCAUCCCUAGCUGGUCUGAGAGGAUGACCAGCAACCCUGGAACGGAGACACGGUCCAGACUCCUACGGGAGGCAGCAGUGGGGAAUAUUGCACAAGGGGCGCAAGCCUGAUGCAGCCAUGCCGCGUGUAUGAAGAAGGCCUUCGGGUUGUAAAGUACUUUCAGCGAGGAGGCGUUACUCGCAGAAGAAGCACCGGCUAACUCCGUGCCAGCAGCCGCGGUAAUAC
rnacentral:rRNA from 1 species